rnacentral:rRNA from 1 species
UACGAAGGGGGCGAGCGUUGUUCGGAAUUACUGGGCGUAAAGGGCGCGUAGGCGGCCCCUUUUGUCGCGUGUGAAAGCCCCGGGCUCAACCUGGGAGGUGCGCGCGAAACGGGGGGGCUUGAGUUCGGGAGAGGAGAGUGGAAUUCCCAGUGUAGAGGUGAAAUUCGUAGAUAUUGGGAAGAACACCGGUGGCGAAGGCGGCUCUCUGGACCGAGACUGACGCUGAGGCGCGAAAGCGUGGGGAGCGAACAGG